GCGGGGGUGGCAGAGCGGUCAAAUGCGCAAGAUUGAGGUUCUUGUCCCUUAGUGGGUUCGAGGGUUCGAAUCCCUUCCCCCGCA
rnacentral:tRNA from 1 species